UCUGAAAAAAAAUAGACAAAAUUCUACCUUUCACAAUUUACCACCUAGAUAAAUAGAGCUAUAAUUUCCAUUGUCUCCAACCAGUGAAGCUGAUCUCAUUGCCUGGGAAUAGGAAGUAUUGUCUUUCAAAGCCAUUCAAAGGGAUACCUGGGAAAAACAGAUUUAGUUAAAUGUUUUUUGUCAAGAUAUUAGUAGGUUUUAAAUCAGCUGAUGGGCAUUUGAAGGUUUCUCAAAUUUCUCCAGCACUCUAUGCAAAGAUUGCCUUGUUGGAAAAGUGGGUUUUUGCUAGUUCAAAAGUCACAGAACUGAUCUCGCACCCCCUGGAGAUGACCUAGAAUGGGGGUCUCCAAACUUGGCCACUUUAAGACUUGGGAACUUGCACUCCCAAAAUUCCUCAGCCAGCAUACUGAAACUUCCAUAUCUGAAGAUGAAGAAGACGCAUAGGUUUGUAUUGUGUACAAGAACAAAAAGCCAGGAAUCUUGUCCAAAAGAUCCCUUGGGGAGGACAGAUGAGGUGGAAAUAAGUGUAAGGAAACAAAAGAAAAAUGUCAUCUGAAUCAGACAAAGUUGAGCCUGAGAAUAUGGAAUAAACCCCAAUCCCAGCUAAUCAACAAAUCAAGAACUUUUCAGGAUAAAAAGAGGUCCUAAAGUUCACCCACUCCUUGAGUCAUCUUUGCAUCCACAACUUAGGAGUUUCUGUCCCUCUAGCUAAUGCCUGGCAGCCUAAUUGAGAAGGAUGUGUCUAAACAUGGAUGGGUGCAUGUGUGGGUAUGAGAAAGAGCAAAUUUACAUCGCAAGCAGUAAAGUUUUGAUGUUACUUUAAAUUCACUGGGUCUCCAUGUAUUCCAAAAAUCCUGAGGUGCCUCAGUAGUUAGUUGAAAAUUAUUUGUGUGAGUCCUUAAUUAUUUCCCAACUCUUGACCAAGGCUGUGUGACUUGUCUGCUCUAACUACACCUAUUUGGUAGAAAUCUAGGUAGAAAACAAGCUUGAAUGUGUGGAUGACCAUAAGCCAAAGCUGAGAGCACAGAUAACACUUACAUGCCUUACUAGCAAUAGCAAUAGUACUUAGACCUAUAUACUGCACUCUCUGGGUGAUUUACAAUAUCAGCAUAUUGCCCCCAACAGUCUGAGUCCUCCUUUUAUCAACCUCAAAAGGAUGGAAGGCUGAGUCAACCUUGAGCCCCGUCAGGAUCGAAUUCCAGGCUGGGAGCAGAGAUAGCCUGCAAUACUGCAUUCUAACCACUGCACCACCAGGACUUAAAAGGAAGAAAUCAUCUGCAAUCAUCCACAGAUAUUUAAUAUCCAUCCAAGGAUAGACCAUGUUUUUGAGUUCAUAUUUGGUAUUUUGAGAGCAAGAGAUAAAUGUACUCUGAAAACAUCCUCCGCAUGAGACUUCUCCAUUUCCAAAAGGGCCAUGGCCAUUCACAAAACAUCCCAUUAUUAAAGGUAAUGAAACCAGGUAAGACUGCCAUGCUAAUGGGACUUUUCUGAUUCCCAACAGCACUGCUAUAAAUAAACCUGAUCCUAUAGGGUUUUUUUUAGCUAUACAGCAUGCCAGUUCCUUACUUAUUUCUUUUAUUCCAAGGACCUUGUGGGUGUGGAAUGGAUGAAGAAAUGGAAUCUUAGGGAAUCCCAUUGUCCAUCCACAUUCCAAUAUUCAUGGG